rnacentral:rRNA from 1 species
GGCUCAGGAUGAACGCUAGCGACAGGCCUAACACAUGCAAGUCGAGGGGCAGCACAAGGAGCAAUCUGAGGUGGCGACCGGCGCACGGGUGAGUAACACGUAUGCAACCUGCCUGUAAGCGGGGAAUAACCCGUUGAAAGACGGACUAAUACCGCAUAAUACUAAAUUACUGCAUGGUAAUUUAUUUAAACAUUUAUGGCUUACAGAUGGGCAUGCGCAUGAUUAGCUAGUUGGAGAGGUAACGGCUCCCCAAGGCAACGAUCAUUAGGGGUUCUGAGAGGAAGGUCCCCCCACACUGGUACUGAGACACGGACCAGACUCCUACGGGAGGCAGCAGUGAGGAAUAUUGGUCAAUGGACGAGAGUCUGAACCAGCCAAGUCGCGUGCAGGAAGAAUUGUCCUAUGGAUUGUAAACUGCUUUUGCAGGGGAAUAAAGUGCAUCACGUGUGAUGUUUUGUAUGUACUCUGCGAAUAAGGAUCGGCUAACUCCGUGCCAGCCGCAGC